AGCUUCUUCGGUGCUCUUUCCCCUCCCAGUCUAAGCGGCGCGGAAUCAGCUGGGGGCCGGAGGAAAAGAAAAGGGGGGGGGGGGCAAACGAUGAAGGCGAAGCCUCCACUCCCCAUCAAGUGGACCCAGAUCCUCGACCCUUGGCGUCUUUAUUUCUCUUGUCCCAGUACCUAAUGCCUCAGAGGGUCCGGACUGCAAGAACCUAGCGAUCAGGUAAUACAGCUCUGAGGAAGAGGGGGGGAAAAGAGGUUGAGAGGAAGGCAAAGAAGAGAAAUAGAAGCUUUUUCAAAAGAAACUGACAGCCAUCGCGCUAAGACCCCAUCCCCGUAGCCUCUGGACACAGCUACCCACCGGCUUCGAUCUGGCUCUUCCAGAGGGCCGAGGGUUGCCUAGCUACAGCUCUGGAAAGGAGAAGGAGGUGCUAACUGACAACGGACGCUCUGGCAACCGCCGUAGAACUCUGUGGUGGCGCUGGCGUCCGCGAGCUCUGGAGUCGUUUGCCAUUCCUGUGAGGGCAGUUGGGCCCUUUCCGGUAGAGGAUUCUUCCUGCUUGGGUGAUGAAGGACUUGUAGGGGGCCGCCUGGACUCAACAGCCUUCAUGGGGCACCUAAGCGAUUUUGUAUUUUCCCUCCCCCACCAACAGGAGGCUAGCCCAUAAAGGGCAUUAUGAUUGAGAGAGGAAAAAAUGGUGUUUGUACCAAUUGAAAAUGCUGUAUUUACCAGUCCCGAGUAUGGUGCUAAAAUUGUUAAAAGACUACGUAAAAUAUCCUCUGAUUCUGAUAAAGAUUGCAAAUUUGCAGUCAACCAUGAAGCAUUUUACCCCUUCUGAAAGUUUAACAUAAGCUAUAUGUCCCAUUCCUAUAGGAUAGCUUUCAUCGUGUUUUCAAACAUUGCCAGACUACACUAACUUUAUUUUUAAAUAUGACGUAAUUGUGGAGAUUUGUAUAUGCAAGGUAGUUUUCCACAGAUUUGGGACAACAUUUGUUAUUUAAUAUGUAACCCCCACUCCUAGUACAGCAUUGUUUUUUGAUCAAAGUGAUUGUAUGAUAAUUGACACAGAUACAGUAAACUAGGUCUCUCUGUCCCUACUUCACUUACAUCCUGUUC